rnacentral:rRNA from 1 species
CUUCCCUUGAGCGGGGGACAACGAGCCGAAAGGCUCGCUAAUACCGCAUACGUUUUCAGGGACUCUGGUUCCUGAAAGGAAAGCUAGGCCGCAAGGUCCGGCACUCGAGGAGGAGCCUGCGUCGCAUCAGCUAGUUGGUGGGGUAACGGCCUACCAAGGCGAAGACGCGUAGCUGGUCUGAGAGGAUGAUCAGCCACACUGGGACUGAGACACGGCCCAG